AGAGGAGAGUAAAGAAGAAAAGAAAGCCCGGCGCCCCGCACGACCCUGCCUCCUCGAUCCCUUCUCCACCUCCAUCCUGCCGCCACCUCCUGCCCCGCGCCGCCCGCCCCACACCACCUCGACCGGGACCGCGCCCCUCCCAAAGGACGGCGAUGAUGGAGGGCGCCGCCCAGCACCUGGCCGUCAGAUUCGCCGGCUCCCCGCUCCUCGGGGCCAGCCCCUCCCCCGUGCCGGGUCGAGCAUCGGCUUGGUGGCCCACACACGAGCACGGGUUCGCUCGAUCCAUCCGGGUAGGGCGCCGCCGGCGGUCUUCUUCUCCGGCCAUCCGUCUUCGGCGGCCGUUCUUCCUUCUCCCGUGCCUCUGAUUUGGAUCGAGGUCGCGGUGGUAGUGGUUCGACGGUGGCUGGGGAGGAGGCGGUGGCAGCGGUGGGAGCAGCAGCGGCGGGUGGUGGGAGCAACGGUGGCGGGUGGUGGGGUCCGGCAGCGGGUGGAGGGGCCGUGGCGCGGUGAUGGGGAGCAGCAGGUCUGUGUCCAUGGCCAGACCACCGCGGACAGGGGUUUCUUCCCGGAUUGUUGAUGAAUAUACUUGGUGAUUCAUGAUUCUUGCAUCCCUUGAUGUGACGCGAGAUUCGUUGGGAUUUUGGGCGAGGGAGAUGGGGUGCGAUUUGGGGCGAUCACGCCUCGGAUUCUUGGGGUCGCCGGGGAUGCGGUGAUUGAAGGAGAAGACGGUGGAGGGAGAGAGGGAGGAAGGGAGGAGGAGGGGGAGCCUGCAGCUGCAAGGCUGCGAUGGGAGACUUUGGUAAUGCCCACUGGACGUUGGUGUCCUUCUCAACACAAAUCCAUGGAGUGCCCAACCCGGAUUUCAAAGGGACUUGGCUGGUUCGAUACUGCCAAUUCCUUGGGUGCUGAUUUUGAGUUGUAGAGACUUUGCCACCGAUGACACGCUAUAUGCGAACGCCACAUCCUUUCUUCUGCACGCAGCGCACGACAUUCCGGUUCGUUUCUGUGUGCUUCCAGUAUUGUAAAUGAGGUACCAUGGGGGGUGGUGACCCAGAACUUGCUGGCGCGGCGAAAGAGCCGGUUCCUGUGACAGGAUGCUAGAGGCUCUUGGGUCACAGCCCACAUGUCUGCUGGAGGUUUGGAGAUAUGAACCAAUCACCCAGAUGCCUUUACUAGGCUGAUGCAUAUGGAGCUUGCAAUCAGAUCCAAAAUAUGGAGCUGUCUAACAAAAGCAGGGCCUCAUUAUUGAUGGCAAGUCAAUUGCAGAGGACAUAAAGUUACAGAUUGCUGAAGAAUUUCGUCGAAUGAAAAAGGCAGUUGCACAUGUUCCUGGAUUAGCUAUUGUAUUGGUAGGCGAUAGAAGGGACUCUCAAUCCCAUGUGGGAUUUAAAGCGAAGGGUUGUGAGGAAGUUGGGAUAAAAUCUUUGUUGUCAGAGUUGCCUUAGAACUGCACAAAAGACGAGGUGGUGGAUUCAGCAGCAAGAUUAAGUGGAUAUCUAUCUGUUCAUGGCAUCCUUGUGCCGCUACCACUACCACAAGUAAUGUAUUGUACUACCUCAUGCACUAAAGCAUCUUCCAUGCAAAAAAAAAACUUAGUUCUUUUUAAUUCUUUAGUAUUUUUCUAAAUUUACUUUUCUCAGGGGGCCGAUGAGCCCGGGCUCAGAAAUGGAUAUUUGGAUGUAAUGGACUUUGUUUUAGUUUUUCUUUUCCAGCCAAAAACUGGUGCCAAAAGUGGGAGACGGCUCAUCAUAGGAGAGGGGACAAUUGUUGCUUGUGCCCAACGUAUAGCAUGUUAAGUUUAGAUAGUUUUUGUGACAUAUAUCAGGUGCUCUGAUGACACUAAAUUUUUAUCUCCCGUUGCAACGCACGGGCAUAUGUGCUAUCUAUCCCUAAUAAUAAAGCACGGAUUGACUUUGUCGGGUUCACCGUUACAACACGCUUUUUCUCGUGAAUUUACGCUUUCAAUUCGUAUUUAAAACAUAUACGUGAGGUGGAACUACAUUUCGUCCGUCCAGUUCCUUU